CGGAGGCGGCACCGCGCGGCGCACGGACCUGGGACGCGAAGUCCUGAAGCUGGCAGACACUUUUCAUACGGGCGGCCGUGCGCGAGGCGAAGGAGAGAACAUUGAAAGUAUUCUCUAAGCUAUUUGAAGAGAGUGACUAAAUGCACCUGGGUCAGGCUGUCUGUGGGUAUGAAGUGGUUGGGAGAAUCCAAGAACAUGGUGGUGAAUGGCAGGAGAAAUGGAGGCAAGUUGUCUAAUGACCAUCAGCAGAAUCAAUCAAAAUUACAGCACACGGGGAAGGACACCCUGAAGGCUGGCAAAAAUGCAGUCGAGAGGAGGUCGAACAGAUGUAUGUACACACUUAAACCUUCAAUGUUCUGAUUGUGAUAUGGGGUAGUAAUUCUUUCCAGUUUGUAAUGUGUAUUCUGUUUUCUUUUGUCUUAAAUAAUUUUUUGCAUUUUCGUAAUUAACAGCAUAGUCUUUUUACUCUCAAAGUUGUGUCAAUUUUUAUUCUCAUCAAACAAUAUAUAAAACUCAAGUUUAAUGCUUCAUAUAAUUAUUUUAAUCAUGCUUUUCUGUUACUUUAUAUUUUGUAGAAUUUACCUGAAUGGUUGAUAUGUCUUAUUAAAUUUUUAAAAUUUUAAUUGAACUUCUUACA
rnacentral:sRNA from 1 species